CACAUGCAGUCGAGCGGUAGAGAGAAGCUUGCUUCUCUUGAGAGCGGCGGACGGGUGAGUAAUGCCUAGGAAUCUGCCUGGUAGUGGGGGAUAACGUUCGGAAACGGACGCUAAUACCGCAUACGUCCUACGGGAGAAAGCAGGGGACCUUCGGGCCUUGCGCUAUCAGAUGAGCCUAGGUCGGAUUAGCUAGUUGGUGAGGUAAUGGCUCACCAAGGCGACGAUCCGUAACUGGUCUGAGAGGAUGAUCAGUCACACUGGAACUGAGACACGGUCCAGACUCCUACGGGAGGCAGCAGUGGGGAAUAUUGGACAAUGGGCGAAAGCUUGAUCCAGCCAUGCCGCGUGUGUGAGGAAGGUCUUCGGAUUGUAAAGCACUUUAAGUUGGGAGGAAAGGUUGGUGGAUAAAGACUCUGCAAAUUUUGACGUUACCGGACAGAAAUAAGCCCCCGUCUAACUCUUGUGCCAGCAGCUGGAGGUAAUACAGAGGGUGGAAUCUUCAUUCGGAUUCACUGGGCCUCAAGCGCGCGCAGGUGUUUUGG
rnacentral:rRNA from 1 species